AGGCCAGGCACUACUCUGUCCCAACAAUAAGCCCUGUACAUUGGGAAAGGUGCCGAAGACAUGAACUUUGGUCUUCUCUGCAAUCCCUCUGGAGCAUUCAGUGACAACGUCGACUUUGAAGUUGCACUGACCUGGCCAGCCCUGCCACUUACCAGGUUGGGCUGUGGCUUGCCUUUUCACUUCUUGUGUCCUGUUUAAGAAAUAUCUGCUAUCCCAAGAUAACACUAACAAAGUUGACCUUAGAAUUGGAGUGCCCGGGUUAGAACCUUGCUGGUACCACCUGCUUACUGCAUGCUUCUGAUGUGAGUUCAGGAGAAGCCACUGGCAAGGACAGCAAAGAACAGGAGAACACUCUAGCUUCCCUGAUAGCAUUCAAGGUGCUGUCCAAACUGACUGUGAUGGCACCCUCCAGACAGACAGCGAUGCCACAUGUUCAAGAUGGCAGAAUCACUAACAGCUUCAAUUCCUGAAUGACUGCAGAGCAAAAUUUCUUACCCGCAACAUACACUCUAUUUUCAGCCUCCCUGGACUGUUACAUAAUGAUACAUAAAAAUAUUUCUUGUGUUGAGGCAUCCCAAAUUUGAUCUAUUUGUCAUCACAGUUUAUCCUACGAAUAUAUUUCUGAUCCAAAUAAUGCUAGAUUCAUGAGAGUUUAUAGUCCAGAGAUUUUUUUUUUUUUUUUUUUUUGAGACAGAAUCUCACUGUCUGCCAGGCUGGGGUGCAGUGGCAUAAUCUUAGCUCACUGCAACCUCCGCCUCCUGGGCUCAAGUGAUCCUCCCUCCUUAGCCUCCAUGAAUAGCUGGGACCACAGGUGUGCACCACCCCACCCAGCUAAUUAUUUUGUAUUUUUUGCAGAGACGGGGUUUCACCACAUUGCCCAAGCUGGUCUCAAACUCCUAGACUUAAGGGAUCUUCCCGCCUUGGCCUCCCAAAAUGCUGAAAUUACAUGUGUUAGCCAUAGUAAUAGUUCCUAGCCAUAGUCCAGAGAUAUUUUAAAAACUUUAGUGUGAGUUAUUUCUCUUUGCUAUAAUUCUCUCAUGCAUUUUGAAAACCUUUUCUGCCAUACAGUGGUUUUUGGGAAGUCCUUUUGGACAGACAUAUCACAGGAUGGAGAAACUAAAAAGAGAGAGAAUGCAUUAAAGAAAAAAUAGUACUUCAUAUUUCAGAAAUUACAAAAGGUUGUCAUGCCCCACAGCAUGGUGGGCAGUCAUUUGUAACCCACAGAACAUUGAGUUUCUAAAAUUUGAGUGUUUUUUAACUUACGAAGGCCAACUUUACUGAUGAAGUGGUUACCCCAAAUAUGUGAAAUCCAUAUUUCAAGCACAAUAGCAGGAAAUCGGAAAUGGGUAGGUAUAUUUCUGACUGUCAAAGAGUACAAAGUAAAGAGGGGCCCCUGAAGAGUGACACUACUGGAAAAA
rnacentral:lncRNA from 1 species